rnacentral:misc_RNA from 1 species
GGAAGAACGCAGCGAAAUGCGAUAAGUAAUGUGAAUUGCAGAAUUCAGUGAAUCAUCGAAUCUUUGAACGCACCUUGCACCCUUUGGCAUUCUGAAGGGUAUGCUCGUUUGAGUGUCAUUGUACUCUCACACUCCCGAUCUUUGCAUUGGGAGCAGUGGACUUGGGUUUGCUGCUUCACCGUCGCUUACCUCAAAUAGGUUAGUGCAACUCUUGGUUGGACAUAGUACGGCGUGAUAAGUGUUCUUCGCCGGUGCCUCGCAAAGAGGGUGGCCGAUCGGGAUGUUGUGCUCCAAACCGUCUUCGGACAAUCUCUGACGACUUGACCUCAAAUCGAGUAAGACUACCCGCUGAACUUAAGCAUAUCAAUAAGCGGAGGA